rnacentral:snRNA from 1 species
GUGCUCACUUCGGCAGCAUAUAUACUAAAAUUGGAACGAUACAGAGAAGAUUAGCAUGGCCCCUGUGCAAGGAUGACAUGCAAAUUCAUGAAGAGUUCCAUAUUUAA